rnacentral:rRNA from 1 species
CUUAUUUCUAGAGAUAGAAAGUUACUUUCGGUACAUCGGUGACAGGUGGUGCAUGGUUGUCGUCAGCUCGUGUUGUGAAAUGUUGGUUAAGUCCCGCAACGAGCGCAACCCUUGUCAUUAGUUGCUACGAAAGGGCACUCUAAUGAGACUGCCGGUGACAAACCGGAGGAAGGUGGGGAUGACGUCAAGUCCUCAUGGCCCUUAUAGGUGGGGCUACACACGUACUACAAUGGCAGGUACAAAGGGCAGCCACUUAGCGAUAAGGCGCGAAUCCCGUAAAACCUGUCUCAGUCCGGAUUGGAGUCUGCAACUCGACUCCAUGAAGUUGGAAUCGCUAGUAAUCGCAGAUCAGCACGCUGCGGUGAAUACGUUCCCGGGCCUU